rnacentral:rRNA from 1 species
UGGGCCUACGGGGCGCAGCAGUCGAGCCUCAUUCCCCCUGUUGGAACCCCUGAUGGUGCGACGCCGCGUGGGGGAAUGAAGGUCUUCGGAUUGUAAACCCCUGUCAUGUGGGAGCAAAUUAAAAAGAUAGUACCACAAGAGGAAGAGACGGCUAACUCUGUGCCAGCAGCCGCGGUAAUACAGAGGUCUCAAGCGUUGUUCGGAAUCACUGGGCGUAAAGCGUGCGUAGGCUGUUUCGUAAGUCGUGUGUGAAAGGCGCGGGCUCAACCCGCGGACGGCACAUGAUACUGCGAGACUAGAGUAAU